AGUGAACGCUGGCGGCAGGCUUAACACAUGCAAGUCGAACGGCAGCACAGUAAUUGUUUGGGCUGCCGGGGGGGGAGUGGCGGGCGGGACAGGUGAACAUCCGCACCUACUUUUUCGGGUGGGAUAAGGAAGGGAAACCUACGCCAAUAUAGCAGACGAUCUACGGGGGAAAGCAUGGGAACUUCUGACCUUGCGGGGUUGGAUGAGCGGAUGUCGGAGUGGCUAGUUGGCGGGGUAACGGCCCACCAAGGCGACGAUCGGUAGCUGGGCUGAGUGGAUGAUCAGCCACACUGGAACUGAGACACGGUCCAGAGUCCUACGGGAGGCAGCAGUGGGGAAUGUUGGACAGUGGGCGCAAGCCUGAUCCAGCUAUACCGCGUGGGUGAAGAAGGCCUUCGGGUUGUAAAGCCCUUUUGUUGGGAAAGAAAAGCAGUAGGCUAAUACCCCGCUGUACUGACGGUACCCGGAGAAUAAGCACCGGCUAACUACGUG
rnacentral:rRNA from 1 species